rnacentral:rRNA from 1 species
UACGGAGGGGGCUAGCGUUGUUCGGAAUUACUGGGCGUAAAGCGCACGUAGGCGUCUUUGCAAGUUAGAGGUGAAAGCCCGGGGCUCAACUCCGGAAUUGCCUUUAAAACUGCAUCGCUAGAAUUGUGGAGAGGUAAGUGGAAUUCCGAGUGUAGAGGUGAAAUUCGUAGAUAUUCGGAAGAACACCAGUGGCGAAGGCGACUUACUGGACACAUAUUGACGCUGAGGUGCGAAAGCGUGGGGAGCAAACAGG